rnacentral:lncRNA from 1 species
GGCAUCUGAUGUUUCAGUUCAUGGGUGUAGUAUACUGCUUAUGGUAAAAAUUUAUUCCCGGAAGUUAUGCCUUUAAUUCCAAAUAUCUUGUAGGCGAGUUAGCCUUGAUAAAUUCCUUUAUUUUGGAACUUUUUAGCUCUGCCGUCCACCUCUUGUGACCCCAACUUCCCUAGGCCUACUUUUGGUGGUAUGGUCAUGAGGACCAUAUUGAUGCAAAUGUCUAUUUCAUUCCCCUUGCCCCGAGAAAAUUUGGGAGCAACAUUUGUAGAGCUGAGUCGACCUUUGACAAAAUACAGC